AACCGUGUCUAGAGGAUAUUCGAUUUUGUAAGAAAAUACUAUAGUGUAUUAGAAUAGUUUAUUAAGUAGGGUGCUAAAUAUUGGUUUAGUCUUUAAUAAUAUAAACUAAUAAUGGAAUGUAUAAAUCCAAAUUUUUGCAGGGUAUACUAUUGAUGCAUGUUGAAUGAAAUGAAUGUUGAAAGGGAUAGUUAGUACUUCUGUCAGAUAAAAUAAAUCCAAACGCCUUACGUAUAAAUGCUUAUCUAUAGGUAAUCAAGGAAUUAAGAAUGAGGAGGAGAAAAUGAUUUUGCUUUAGUUCUUUUGUUCAUGUUGUGGUUUCUGAUACCACUCAGAUAAAGGACCCAUAUCACAUGCAUACAUAACAUGAUUUCUAAAAUAAUUGUAAUGUUGUUAUUAUUAUUAUUAGUAGUAAUAAAUGAACAGUACUAGUUUCUACAAAAAAGCAUAUGUUAAAACAAUAAGAAUCUUUAGAAAGGAAACAGAAAUAGUGCUAGUGUGGACUUCUGCAAAGGCUUGAUUGUAAGAGGAAUCAUAAUGGUUGUUUGUGUUUAUUUUAGCUAACUCAUUUUAAUUAUUCAGUGAUAUAUAUGAAUAAACUUUGAUUUAGAUGCAGAGGUAGAUAAUACUGGUCCACUGUAUUUUAAUUCUCAACCCUGCAAAGUACUCAUAGCACUGGACAAAGCUAGAUUCUAGAUGGUUGAGUUGAGAGAGACAGAUCAAAAUUUUCACAUUGAAGCCUAAAAAACUAGGGAACAGUAGGAAGAAAAGUUCACCACUUUAACAUAAAUGCAUAAAAUGAUUGUGAAGAAGCAAUAGUACUAGUAUGGCCAUAACAAGUGGUGGUGACAUAACCUGGCACAAAGUACUUACUACUAACCAUGACUUCACAACAGAAGAUGCCAUCGUACUCGGUACUGGAUGCCAGUUUUCACCAUGGACGGUAUCUAGAUAUAACGGACAAAAAAACAAACGGUUCAAUGUAUUCAACCUCGACCCGAAUUUGGUAUUUUCUUUUUUCUUCCUUCUUUACUUCCUUUGUGGCCAUGAGAAUAAGAAUUUCGACAUGAGCAAAAAAUCAUGCAUAUCACUCUCAUAUUAUUAUUGACUUGUGUGUUUUGGUCUGGUCCCCCUCUUGUUAAUUUGUUAUGCAAGCUAAUUAACACUGAUAUGAUAUGAUAUAUACCAUUUCAAAAGGGACUUUAUUGAAGAAAUGUGUAGGACAGUUGUGAAGAAUUUUGAUAUGAAUAGACAAAAGGUGAAAUUGUAGUGCUGGAAAAUUCUUGUUGCUUGUUGUCUUUGUAGUGCAUGCAGACAGGUGCACGGUGUAUAAGAUAAGAGGAACCGAAUAUAUAUAAAAUCAUCCUCUCAUUCAUACAUACA